rnacentral:rRNA from 1 species
AUGGCGCCAGGGCUCAAACGCUUCACCGACGUCGCCGGAGACGGCACGCCCCGCCUCGACGACGCCGCCGGCGAGGAGCUCAUGUGCGUGGAGCGCGCCGCCUCGGUCGCCCUCGGCAGCCGCGCGCCGGAGCCCCCGGGAACCCUCUUCAUCACCACCAGGAGGGUGAUUUGGCUCAGCGAGGCGGAGAAGGGCAAAGGAUACGCGGUGGACUUCCUGGACAUCACGCUCCACGCAGUGUCGCGCGACCCGGAGGCGUACCCCUCGCCGUGCCUCUACACUCAGAUUGAAGCCGAAGCUGACUCUGAUGAAGAGGAUGGUGAUUUUGACUCUGAAGCAAAUGGUGACUCACAGCUACCAAAAAUCUCUGAGAUGCGUAUUAUACUGGCAGAUGCUGCCCAACUAGAUUCACUUUUUGAUGCCUUCUGCCAUUGUGCUGAGCUGAACCCUGAUCCUACUGCUGAAGAAAAUGAAGAUGGUGAGGGUAUGACCAAUGGUGGUUGGAUUCAUGGUGAUGAAGAUGAACACAUGGUUGAUGGAAUCGACCCUGAGUUUUUUAUUCCCACCCCGAUAGGUCAAAAUGGUGGAGAUGGCCUCAGUUCUUCAGUACUUGAGCUUCAAAUCAAUGACCAGCGUUUCGAGGAUGCGGAGGAAGAGGAGGCCCGUGAAAAUGGGCAUUAA